ACCAAGUAGUUGCCAAAAGAGGAAGGGAAUAGAUAAUCCGCCUGCCCGUAUAUUGCACGUAGGUAGUCUAGCACCAAGCGACACUAUGGAAAGUUUCAGCAGUGGAAAGUUUCCACUUUGAAUUGUGUACCUAGAUUAUAAGAAAUUUGUAUAUAUAUCCCGUAGGAAUACGGAAAUACAUCUGCAUUCGCUAACAACCAGCAGUGAUUUUGGAAAAAGAGAGCAAAAAAUGGAUAUAUAUGACAGUUUUUCCGAUGAAGAUGUUCAAAAGGAUAGUUUCCGCGAAGUGGAGUACCUAAAUUCGACAAGUUCGGAGAAUGAAUCUGAAGCCUCGCAGCAGCCAACUAGAAAGCGACGAAGGAUCGAUAAGGCGGGAGAGCUUGAUACUGCUUUUGUUUCUUUGUUGGCUGAAUUUGCACCGGUGUUGCUGGAAAAGUCACAGACUCCAUCUAUGAAAGCAAAAAAAGGGGCAGCUUUGAAAAAAUUAUCCAACGAGCUUGUUCUUCGGUAUGGAUUGGAAUUAACAAACAAAUUUAUGAAAAGGUACACAAUUUGAAAAAUCGCGUGAAGUCAAAAACAGAUCUAAAGAAAACAGGAAACAAGAAAAUUAUGCUGAAUGAUGCGGAGCAGAAAUUUUACGAAUUAUUGGGCGGUACCGGCAAUCCAGCUAUAUCGAAAAGAUCAUACGGUAUUUCUAUUGGAACAGACGAUUCACAAGAAGCAGGACCUUCCAAUGAACCACUUCCCAGUUCUGCUAGCACUUCAACGCCCGUGGUCACGCCGAGUACAUCUCGUACGACGCGUACAAGCACACCACGGGUAAGAAAAUAUUUCCCAUACAUUUUGAUAUUCUUUUAAAGCCUAACGAAAAAAAAUAUCGCAAAGUGAAUUAAUAGAGCUGCAAAACACGGUACUGCGAGAGCAGCUGAGCUUAAUUCGCACACAGGACAAUUUAAUUCGUCAACAGCAAGAAUUGAACAUUCAACAACAAAGUGAACGGCAU